rnacentral:rRNA from 1 species
GACGAACGCUGGCGGCGUGCUUAACACAUGCAAGUCGAACGGUGAAGCGCCUUCCUUUUUGGUGGGUGUGGAUGAGUGGCGAACGGGUGAGUAACACGUGAGUAACCUGCCCCCUUCUUCUGGAUAACCGCAUGAAAGUGUGGCUAAUACGGGAUAUUCUGGGUCUGUCGCAUGAUGGGUCUGGGAAAGAUAUUGUUUCGGUGGGGGAUGGGCUCGCGGCCUAUCAGCUUGUUGGUGGGGUGAUGGCCUACCAAGGCGGUGACGGGUAGCCGGCCUGAGAGGGUGGACGGUCCCACUGGGACUGAGACACGGCCCAGACUCCUACGGGAGGCAGCAGUGGGGAAUAUUGCACAAUGGGCGCAAGCCUGAUGCAGCGACGCCGCGUGAGGGAUGGAGGCCUUCGGGUUGUGAACCUCUUUCGCCAGUGAAGCAGGCCUGCCUCGUUUGUGGGUGGGUUGACGGUAGCUGGAUAAGAAGCGCCGGCUAACUACGUG